rnacentral:rRNA from 1 species
GACGGAGGAUGCAAGCGUUAUCCGGAAUUAUUGGGCGUAAAGCGUCCGCAGGUGGCUGUUCAAGUCUGCUGUCAAAGCGCAGAGCUUAACUCUGUACAGGCGGUGGAAACUGAAGAGCUAGAGUAUGGUAGGGGUAGAGGGAAUUCCCGGUGUAGCGGUGAAAUGCGUAGAUAUCGGGAAGAACACCAGUGGCGAAAGCGCUCUACUGGGCCAUAACUGACACUGAGAGACGAAAGCUAGGGGAGCGAAAGGG